CCCUUAGAUGUCCUGGGCCGCACACGCGCUACACUGAAGGAGGCAGCGUGUACUCCUGGAUCGAAAGAUUUGGGUAACCCGCGAAUCUCCUUCGUGCUAGGGAUUGAGGUUUGCAAUUAUCCUUCAUGAACGAGGAAUUCCCAGUAAGUGCAAGUCAUAAGCUUGCGCUGACUACGUCCCUGCCCUUUGUACACACCGCCCGUCGCUACUACCGAUUGAAUGAUUUAGUGAGGACUUCGGACUGGGACCGAUGCGGCUUUCGGGCUGCGUCGGUAUUCUGGAAAGAUGUCCAAACUGUAUCAUUUAGAGGAAGUAAAANUCGUANCA
rnacentral:rRNA from 1 species